GAGCCAGGAAAGCCUGAAGCUCUCUGUUUUGUGCUCUGACUGUAUGCUGCAAUCGUCAGAAGGGUUCUUCCUCCGGUCUUUAUGUUGCUCCAGACUUAUAAGACUGCUCCUUUUUUUGGACCAAAAAAUCUGCGAUAGAUGGCAAAGGCAUUUGGGGAGCUCUGGGGGAUUGUGACACGGGGCUCAUUCCAACUGGAGCUGUGGCCGUGCCUCUGCCCAUCAUCAGGGGAUGUCUGCAGGUUUCUGAAUCACCGAGAUGAAGAAGGGCUCAGCGAGACUGCCGGGAGGUGGAAGGAAGCCAAGUCUCACCCAUGCACUGAACACACAGCUGGACCCCAGCCCGGAGCAGUCCCCCCCGCCGAGACAUCACAGCCCCUUCUGCAACUCUUGGGGCCUGCAGACCCCUCCCCACCACCUGUCUGACUGUGGCUCUAAGACUUCCUGUUGCCCCUGCAUGCUUUUCUGCCAGUGCUACUUCCUGUCACCCUGUGUCCUCCUCUGUCAGUGCUACUUCUUGUUGUCCCCCCGACCCCCCUGCCCUCCUCUGCUAGAGCUGCCACGCAGGUGGAUAAACUCCUGAGCUCCAGGGGUCUUGAGAACUGCAUGAAUUGCUUGAGGUUUGCACACAAAACCCAGAGGAUUGAGGACUGAAAAUUGUUGUAGAGUUUAAGUAGAUGAA